rnacentral:rRNA from 1 species
ACAAGGAUUCCCUAGUAACUGCGAGUGAAGCGGGAAAAGCUCAAAUUUAAAAUCUGGCGGUCUUUGGCCGUCCGAGUUGUAAUUUAGAGAAGCGUCUUCCGCGCCGGACCGUGCACAAGUCUCCUGGAAUGGAGCGUCAUAGAGGGUGAGAAUCCCGUCUUUGGCACGGACUCCCGGUGCUUCUGUGAUGCGCUCUCGAAGAGUCGAGUUGUUUGGGAAUGCAGCUCAAAAUGGGUGGUGAACUCCAUCUAAAGCUAAAUAUUGGCGAGAGACCGAUAGCGAACAAGUACCGUGAGGGAAAGAUGAAAAGCACUUUGGAAAGAGAGUGAAACAGUACGUGAAAUUGUUGAAAGGGAAACGCUUGAAGUCAGUCGCGUCGACCGAGACUCAGCCUUGCCUUGGCUUGGUGUACUUCUCGGCCCGACGGGUCAGCAUCAAUUUUGCUCCUCGGAUAAUGGCAAGGGAAAGGUGGCACCUUUACGGGUGUGUUAUAGUCUCCUGUCGCAUGCGAGGGGUGGGAUUGAGGAACUCAGCGCGCACCUUUGGUGUCGGGGCUUCGGCCCACGUCACGCGCUUAGGAUGCUGGCGUAAUGGCUU